rnacentral:rRNA from 1 species
GAGGAAUAUUGGUCAAUGGAUGGAAAUCUGAACCAGCCAAGUAGCGUGCAGGAUGACGGCCCUAUGGGUUGUAAACUGCUUUUGUAUGGGGAUAAAGUUAGGGACGUGUCCCUAUUUGCAGGUACCAUACGAAUAAGGACCGGCUAAUUCCGUGCCAGCAGCCGCGGUAAUACGGAAGGUCCAGGCGUUAUCCGGAUUUAUUGGGUUUAAAGGGAGCGUAGGCUGGAGAUUAAGUGUGUUGUGAAAUGUAGACGCUCAACGUCUGAAUUGCAGCGCAUACUGGUUUCCUUGAGUACGCACAACGUUGGCGGAAUUCGUCGUGUAGCGGUGAAAUGCUUAGAUAUGACGAAGAACUCCGAUUGCGAAGGCAGCUGACGGGAGCGCAACUGACGCUUAAGCUCGAAGGUGCGGGUAUCAAACAGGAUUAGAUACCCUGGUAGUCCGCACAGUAAACGAUGGAUGCCCGCUGUUGGUACCUGGUAUCAGCGGCUAAGCGAAAGCAUUAAGCAUCCCACCUGGGGAGUACGCCGGCAACGGUG